UGGGGUCGCACAGAGUCGGACAUGAGUGAAGCGACUUAGCAGCAGCAGCAUAGAAACCUUUAAGAAUUGUUAAGUUAGAAUAGUCUGGGUUGGGGUUUAGUGUUAGAUUCACAGCUGGGCCUGCGGGAGGGUGGCUGGACCCUGUUUUGGGGGAGGAAGGCUGGUCUACUGCCUGGUCCUCUGUGAGGACACCACCACCAGGCCACCCCCUGGGGGUGCUUCCAGGGGCUGCACUCCUCCCCUUGGGUGCUUCGUUCAGGCACCUCAGGGCCCCACUUCAGGUGGUGCAGAGCUUGCCAAUUGUCCCCUGUAUAUGACUCUCCAGCUCAAGACUACAUUUCCCAGUCUCCUUUGCAGUUAACCUGACCAUGUGACUGGGAUCAGCCAAUAGGAUGUGAGUAAAAAAAAUGAUGCCGGCAAUUUCUAGGUUGGCCCAUUAAAAGGACAGGACUGAACUUUCCUUUCCCCUUCCCUUUUACCCGUGGCUGGGGCAGACCCCUUGGAACCCAGCAUGGAGGCCUAUGUGAGGCUGGCAGAGGUGCCCAGGUUAUGGAUCUUUGGACUACCACGUGAGAGAGGUGUGAACUUGUAUCGCAUGAAGGCGAUGUAUUUUGAGGUCUAUUUGUUACAGCAGCCCAUCUUGCAAAUGCGCCUUCUUCAUGUGGCAAACAGCUUGAUAACUCAUCCAAAUCCUGUGGCGACUUACUUGUGUGUUCAGUCACAAUCAGCAUAGCAUUAUGGUUUGAAGCCUGUGGUUAGACCUGCUUUCAAAGCCCCGUUCCUUCACCUAGCAGCUUGCAACCUUUGGCAGAUUACUUAAUCUCACAGCACUGGGGUCAUUUCAGUAGGAAAUGUCUUUUCACAUACUGACCUUGUCCAUGCCCACAUGCAUACGUCACUGGAACUAAGGUUCCAUGGGACAAAGCACUGUCAUUACCACCGGUACACUCUGAUAGUUUCCAUUCCAGUGGUUCUCAAAGUGUGGUCCCUGGACCGGCAGCAUCAGCAUGACCUGGGAACUUGCAAUUUCUUGAGACCCAUCCCAGACCUGAUGAACCAGAGAUUCUGGGGGUAGUGCCUAGAAAUUUGUUUCAACAGGCCUUCUGGGUGAUUCCAAUGAGACUAGAGUUUGAAAACCACUAUUUUACUCUAUUAAAAAAAAUGGAGAUUAUUCAUCACCUAAAUUGAUCUCAUAACCC
rnacentral:lncRNA from 1 species